GGCAGAGUGCCCGAGGAGGGCCGGAGGCAGAGUGCCCGAGUGUCUGAGGAGGGCUGGAGGCGCAGUGGCUAAGGAGGGCGGUUAAUGCAUGGCUAAAGUCAUGGUUUGGGAAAGAGGAUUUUGGCUUUUAGAGCACUUAAAUGGAAGAGGGUCUUCAGUGCUGGGGGAGCAGGAUGGCUAGAAUGUUGGAUGAGAUUUUAAACUAGUGGUAGGGGAGAGGGACAUAGAAAUCUACAAAAGUGAGAUAGGACAGGCGUUGGGCUUUAGCUUAGUACAAGGGAAAGGCAAGAUCAGAACACAGGAGGUAUGUAAUAGUAAUAAAAAACAUUCUGGGCAGAUCUCUGCUUGGACAAAAGAAGGGACUUAAAUUAUUGGUUGGGAUAACUUAUAAGCCACCUAAUGUUAGUAUUGAUGAGGAAGAACAGAUGUUAAAGCAAAUUGGGAAAGCUAGACAUCUGGGUAACACGUUAAUUAUUGGAGAUUUUAAUUACCUGAACAUAAAUUGGGAUAAAGGGACUAAUAAUUCAGCAAGGGAAAUCAGAUUUUUAAAUUUGUUAUAAGACACCUUCAUGCCGCAACUGUAAUAAGUGCCAACUAGAAAAGGUGCUUGUUGAUCUUUUGACCAACAUUUAAGUAGGGGAGCACUUGGAAAAUAGUGGUCAUCUUUUGAAAUAAACUAAAAAAAAAAAAGCGCAUGGGUGUAUUCUAAGACAUAAUUUUAAGG